rnacentral:rRNA from 1 species
UACGGGGGGGGCAAGCGUUGUUCGGAAUUACUGGGCGUAAAGGGCUCGUAGGCGGCCAACUAAGUCGGACGUGAAAUCCCCAGGCUCAACCUGGGAACUGCGUCCGAUACUGGCGGGCUUGAAUUCGGGAGAGGGAUGUGGAAUUCCAGGUGUAGCGGUGAAAUGCGUAGAUAUCUGGAGGAACACCGGUGGCGAAGGCGGCAUCCUGGACCGACAUUGACGCUGAGGCGCGAAAGCCAGGGGAGCAAACGGG